rnacentral:rRNA from 1 species
GGUAACAGGUCUUUCGGGAUGCUGACGAGUGGCGAACGGGUGAGUAAUACAUCGGAACGUGCCCAGUAAUGGGGGAUAGCUCGGCGAAAGCCGGAUUAAUACCGCAUACGCCCUGAGGGGGAAAGUGGGGGACCGCAAGGCCUCACGUUAUUGGAGCGGCCGAUGGCUGAUUAGCUAGUUGGUAGGGUAAAGGCCUACCAAGGCGACGAUCAGUAGCUGGUCUGAGAGGACGAUCAGCCACACUGGGACUGAGACACGGCCCAGACUCCUACGGGAGGCAGCAGUGGGGAAUUUUGGACAAUGGGGGAAACCCUGAUCCAGCAAUGCCGCGUGUGCGAAGAAGGCCUUCGGGUUGUAAAGCACUUUUGUCAGGGAAGAAAUCCUUUGGGCUAAUACCCUAGGGGGAUGACGGUACCUGAAGAAUAAGCACCGGCUAACUACGUGCCAGCAGCCGCGGUAAUACGUAGGGUGCAAGCGUUAAUCGGAAUUACUGGGCGUAAAGCGUGCGCAGGCGGUUGUGUAAGACAGGUGUGAAAUCCCCGGGCUUAACCUGGGAAUUGCAUCUGUGACUGCACGACUAGAGUGUGUCAGAGGGGGGUGGAAUUCCACGUGUAGCAGUGAAAUGCGUAGAUAUGUGGAGGAACACCAAUGGCGAAGGCAGCCCCCUGGGGAUAACACUGACGCUCAUGCACGAAA